GAUCAUGGCUCAGGAUGAACGCUAGCUACAGGCUUAACACAUGCAAGUCGAGGGGCAGCAUGAACUUAGCUUGCUAAGUUGAUGGCGACCGGCGCACGGGUGAGUAACACGUAUCCAACCUGCCGAUGACUCGGGGAUAGCCUUUCGAAAGAAAGAUUAAUACCCGAUGGCAUAAUUCUUCCGCAUGGUAGAACUAUUAAAGGAAUUUCGGUCAUCGAUGGGGAUGCGUUCCAUUAGGUUGUUGGCGGGGUAACGGCCCACCAAGCCUUCGAUGGAUAGGGGUUCUGAGAGGAAGGUCCCCCACAUUGGAACUGAGACACGGUCCAAACUCCUACGGGAGGCAGCAGUGAGGAAUAUUGGUCAAUGGACGAGAGUCUGAACCAGCCAAGUAGCGUGAAGGAUGACUGCCCUAUGGGUUGUAAACUUCUUUUAUACGGGAAAUAAAGUGAGGCACGUGUGCCUUUUUGUAUGUACCGUAUGAAUAAGGAUCGGCUAACUCCGUG
rnacentral:rRNA from 1 species